rnacentral:misc_RNA from 1 species
GAUGAAGAACGCAGUGAAAUGCGAUAAGUAAUGUGAAUUGCAGAAUUCAGUGAAUCAUCGAAUCUUUGAACGCACCUUGCACUCCUUGGUAUUCCGAGGAGUACGCCUGUUCGAGUGUUAUGAAGCUCUCAAAACGCAAUUGGCUUAAAACCUGAUUGUUGUUUUGGAUUUGAACUUUGCCGUGUUAUAACGGCUGGUUUUAAAAGUAUUAGCUGGUACUAGAACGAAUUGGUUCUACUCAACGUGAUAAUUAUCUGAUCGUUGAGGACAUUCCUUUCACGAGGAAUGGCCAUAGUAAAUUCAAUGGACUGCUUCUAAUCUGGCUUUAAUUCUUUAUUGGAUUAACCACUUUUCAAAUCUGACCUCGAAUCAGGUGGGACUACCAGCUGAACUUAAGCAUAUCAAUAAGCGGAGGA